GAUGAAGAACGUAGCGAAAUGCGAUAAGUAAUGUGAAUUGCAGAAUUCAGUGAAUCAUCGAGUCUUUGAACGCACAUUGCGCCCCCUGGUAUUCCGGGGGGCAUGCCUGUCCGAGCGUCAUUGCUGCCCUCAAGCACGGCUUGUGUGUUGGGCCCCGUCCUCCGAUCCCGGGGGACGGGCCCGAAAGGCAGCGGCGGCACCGCGUCCGGUCCUCGAGCGUAUGGGGCUUUGUCACCCGCUCUGUAGGCCCGGCCGGCGCUUGCCGAUCAACCCAAAUUUUUUAUCCAGGUUGACCUCGGAUCAGGUAGGGAUACCUGCUGAACUUAAGCAUAUCAAUAAGCGGAGGA
rnacentral:misc_RNA from 1 species